rnacentral:rRNA from 1 species
UAGGGAAUCUUCCACAAUGGACGAAAGUCUGAUGGAGCAACGCCGCGUGAGUGAAGAAGGUUUUCGGAUCGUAAAACUCUGUUGUAAGGGAAGAACACGUACGAGAGUAACUGCUCGUACCUUGACGGUACCUUAUUAGAAAGCCACGGCUAACUACGUGCCAGCAGCCGCGGUAAUACGUAGGUGGCAAGCGUUGUCCGGAAUUAUUGGGCGUAAAGCGCGCGCAGGCGGUUCUUUAAGUCUGAUGUGAAAGCCCACGGCUCAACCGUGGAGGGUCAUUGGAAACUGGAGAACUUGAGUACAGAAGAGGAAAGCGGAAUUCCACGUGUAGCGGUGAAAUGCGUAGAGAUGUGGAGGAACACCAGUGGCGAAGGCGGCUUUCUGGUCUGUAACUGACGCUGAGGCGCGAAAGCGUGGGGAGCAAACAGGAUUAGAUACCUGGUAGUCCACGCCGUAAACGAGUGAGUGCUAAGUGUUA